rnacentral:rRNA from 1 species
GAUGAACGCUAGCGGCAGGCCUAACACAUGCAAGUCGAGGGGCAGCACAUAAAGUGGUUUACUACUUUUGGUGGCGACCGGCGGACGGGUGCGUAACGCGUAUGCAACCUGCCUCCAACAGGGGGAUAUCGGAGAGAAAUUUCCACUAAUACCCCAUAAUAUCAGAAUCGGCAUCGGUUUUGGUUGAAAACUCCGGUGUUUGGAGAUGGGCAUGCGUUGUAUUAGAUAGUUGGUGAGGUAACGGCUCACCAAGUCAACGAUACAUAGGGGGACUGAGAGGUUAGCCCCCCACACUGGUACUGAGACACGGACCAGACUCCUACGGGAGGCAGCAGUGAGGAAUAUUGGUCAAUGGGGGCAACCCUGAACCAGCCAUGCCGCGUGCAGGAAGACGGCUCUAUGAGUUGUAAACUGCUUUUACAAGGGGAUAAAUCGGUGUACGUGUACACCGUUGAAGGUACCUUGGGAAUAAGGAUCGGCUAACUCCGUGCCAGCCGCCGCAGUAA